UACAGAGGAGCCAAGCGUUGUCCGGAUUGACUGGGCGUAAAGCGCACGCAGGCGGUUGCGCGCGUGGGGUGUGAAAUCUGGCCGCUUAACGGCCAGGCGCCAUCCCAUACGGCGCGACUGGAGUGAUGCAGAGGUCGAUGGAAUUGCCGGUGUAGCGGUGAAAUGCGUAGUGAUCGGCAGGAACACCCAGGGGGAAACCAGUCGACUGGGCAUCUACUGACGCUGAGGUGCGAGAGCGUGGGGAGCGAACCGG
rnacentral:rRNA from 1 species